UCUACUUGAAGCUGGAGCUGAUCCUAAUGUUACUGAGUAUACAUCUGGUGGCUCUCCUGCUCUUAUUAUAGCCAUUGAAAAAGAUAAUACUGAUAUUGUUAAAUUGUUACUAGAAAAAGGAGCUGAUCCUAAUGUUACUAAGUAUCCAUCUGGUGGCUCUCCUGCUCUUAUUAUAGCCAUUGAAAAAGAUAAUACUGAUAUUUUUAAAUUGUUGCUGGAG